GAUGAACGCUGGCGGCGUGCCUAAUACAUGCAAGUCGAGCGAACGGACGAGAAGCUUGCUUCUCUGAUGUUAGCGGCGGACGGGUGAGUAACACGUGGAUAACCUACCUAUAAGACUGGGAUAACUUCGGGAAACCGGAGCUAAUACCGGAUAAUAUUUUGAACCGCAUGGUUCAAAAGUGAAAGACGGUCUUGCUGUCACUUAUAGAUGGAUCCGCGCUGCAUUAGUUAGUUGGUAAGGUAACGGCUUACCAAGGCAACGAUGCAUAGCCGACCUGAGAGGGUGAUCGGCCACACUGGAACUGAGACACGGUCCAGACUCCUACGGGAGGCAGCAGUAGGGAAUCUUCCGCAAUGGGCGAAAGCCUGACGGAGCAACGCCGCGUGAGUGAUGAAGGUCUUCGGAUCGUAAAACUCUGUUAUUAGGGAAGAACAUAUGUGUAAGUAACUGUGCACAUCUUGACGGUACCUAAUCAGAAAGCCACGGCUAUCUACGUG
rnacentral:rRNA from 1 species